rnacentral:hammerhead_ribozyme from 1 species
AUUCGAAACUCCCCCUCGGGGGAGUCGUAGGGAACUAGCCGUCCCUGCCUGAUGAGAUAGGCUAAA